UCCAGGCUAAAUUCCUUCUUGUGCCGGCUGC
rnacentral:piRNA from 1 species